CCAGACUUUCCACUUUUUUUGCACCUGCAUUCCUAGAUGAGAACAGCUGAAAGAAGACGGGCCCAACAGACAAUCUCCUGUCCGUCUAGUUGCUACAAAAAGAAUGGUAAAUAAUUAGAACCCUAGGAAUUAAAACUUUACAGCCAGGUUUAGGAUAAAAUAGUUCAAUUUUAUUAAAAUUUCAAUCACUCCAAAAGCAAACUUUUGUAGGGGUAAGGGAGAGACGGAGGUUUGGAAGGACUUUAUAAACAUUAUCUUAGGACUUUGUAUAACUUCUUACCAUUUUCGAAGCAGUUUCAUAUACCUUAUCUAAUUUGAAUCUCAUAAUAAGCCAAUAAGAUGGAAAGCAGGUAAAUGAGUCACAGAAUCGUUAUUAACAUUUGAAGACCUAUAAGCCAUUACUAGCCUUUUAAACAGCAGAACAGAAGCUGCACCUUUCCUCAAGAUAAAAUUAACUAAAAUAUCACAUUUCUUCUCUUUUGACUGCAAUUGGUUAACAAAUAAGUGGUUCAGGCUGGUUGAGAACAAAGUUCUGCCUUUUAUCCAGAACUUAUUAUUUCUUUCUCAUAUUUAUAUUAGACGAUAACAACACAAAGCAAUAAAACAUUGAAAUAAAUUUUAAAUUACUACUAAAAAUCAGCAAUGAUUUUCAUUUUGUAGAUUACCUUCCAGUUGGCCUACAUGCUGGGUUUUCAUGGCUGUAUUUUGCUUUGCCCACUUUUCUUUCUAAAAUAUCAUAGUCUCUCCUACUAUUAUCCCCAAUUUACAAACAAGGUAACAGAUUAAAUGAUCUUUCCAAAGUCGUGCACAGAGUCAGAAAAUGACAGGACUGGCACUAGCCUAGAUCUUUUUGCAUUUCAUUCUGGAACUCUUCCUACUACACCAUACUAACUCACAAAGGAAAAGAUGUCCCAAUUAAAGAAAAAUCCACAAAAAUCUAAACUUAAGAAAUAGAUCAAUUAAGAUGUGAUCUUUUAGUUUACAGAAAGAUUUACCACCGUAGGAGUCUCAUAAAUGUUGAAAAUUCCCCUUCUGCAUAAUUAGACCCAGUCUCUAGCCUCAAGGAGCUCAUAUAUCAUUUACAAUUUGUCAGGCAUCUUAGAGAAGAAUGUAUAUUUAGAAGUAAAGGAUUUGGGUCAAUAUCAAAUCAAUCAGAAAGGAAAAUAAAACAUCUUGGAACUUGUAAUGUGAACCAGUGGAGAAAAGAUGAUUGAAGUUAAAAACAACUCUGCAGAAGCACAUUGGCAGCCCAUAGUGCUCCUGUGUGUAGUUAUAUGGGCUGUUUAUAUAAGAAACCUCAGAGUAUAAAGCACAAUUACAAAACACUGUUCCAGUUUUCCAUAAGCACAGAUGCAGUGGGAAAGCAGGCUGCUUUCAAGACCAUGCCCAAGUUCCAUAUUGGGAAUUGUGUAAGAUUUUUAAAAACCUGCCCUCUGACUUAGGACCUAAGAUGAAUAUUCUGAAAGUGUAGUUUACUGUCAAACAGCAUCAAAAUAAGGUGCUUGUUAAAAGUGAAGAUUCUUGAGUCUUAGUCAAGACCGAUUAAAUCAGAAUGUCUAGGGGAUGGUUUGGGAUCUGCAUUUUUUAACAAGUUCUCCAGGUGACUGAUAACGCAACACUAAAGUCUGAAAACAACUGACUUAGAGAAAAUAUUGGAUACUUUAGAAUAUUAAUUCCUUAGUCUCUCAUUUUGAUGUUCCUAAGUCCCAACUUUUGCUUUUCCGCCCUUGAUCACUUGGAAUCAAAAAAGAAGGUUCAGGUUUUUAGCAAAUUACAGUGAAACACAUUAAGAUGUGGAGGACUGAUCCAAGUGAGCUCAGUGUUCAUGUCCAUUAUGGGUCCAGCUCAUCAACCGUAUUGAGGUUUAAGGUGCAGUGGAUAUCUCUGUCAACGGAUGGAGAUGAGGGUCAGUGGAACUCUGAAAAAGGUGAAAGCAGACCAAACAAGCUGUUGAAACAAGUUUUUAGAACAAAGUUACAGGUGAAAAAAAGUAUUAAAUAACAGAGGUUCUUAUAAUAAGCUGUGUGUCCUGGCCUAUUGACUCUGCACCAAUUAUUUUUACUAGCAAGAUAGAGAAUGAAUAAGGCAUGUGGAUUUCAAUUUCCAGCUAUAGCUAUUGUGUGGGUUCUUGAAAGUCUUCAUGGGCAAUACCAGCUUAUGCAAUGACCCUCCAGAGCUGGUGCUCUAUGUAUUUAUUUCCAGCUGAUAACUUUAAGAAUUGAAAGAACAAAACAAGGUGAUGAAUAUACAAACAAUCAAGACUAAAAUAAUAGAUCUGUAGCUACUUUAAAAAGUAGCAUGGGGCCGGCUCCGUGGCCGAGUGGUUAAGUUGGCGUGCUCCACUGCGGCAGCCCAGGGUUCGGAUCCUGGGCGCGGACACGGCACCACUCAUCAGGCCACGUUGAGGCGGCGUCCCACAUCCCACAACUAGAAAGACCGGCAACAAAGAUAUUCAACUGCGUACAGGAGGGGGUUGGGGAGAUAAAGCAGGGGGGAAAAACAAGAGAUUGGCAACAGUUGUUAGCCCAGGUGCCAAGCCUUAAAAAAAAAAAAAAAAAAAGUAGCAUAAUAUUGCUUAAGGUACUUAGUUAUCAUAUUGAGUUUUAAAUGAUGUCUUUUUAAACUAAUCAUCCUGAAGUAUAACCGGAAUAUGUAUAAAACUUUUAGACUAAAACUGCCAUACUUUUGUUCUACACAGUUUUGUUAAAUUAAGAGCUCAGAUUAAUAUACUCUAAGAGGUAUGACAUAAAGGUAUAAUGAACACUUUCUGAAUGUUAUAGUACCAAGAGUAACAAUAAAUAAUGAGAGUCAAGAGUAGUGGUUAUUUUUAUUUCUUGGAAAAGCAUUAAAAUUAAAAUUAAAUUCAGUUUAUUAGAAGCAAAACUUGUUAUUAAAGUUUCAGUGCUAAAAACAUGACCAUGAAAUAGUAUGUAUUAAAUAUUCUUAUUCUGUAAAGUGAGUCUCUAUGGCUGCUUUUCAAAGAAAGAGAUCUACAGACAAGGAGUAACUCCAGAAAUAAAGGAAGGUAGAACCAACCAGACAGGAGAAUUUGAGAUGCUCAACAGUUAACUCCUUGGCCUCUCAAGAUCUCUGUCCUCACACGGAAUUCCGCACGUGGUGUAUACUUCCACACAUUCCAUGUCAGAUUACCUGUUUCUAAAACUAAAGAAAAAUUAACUUUUUUUCCUUAGUAGUAAAAUAAUUAAAAUGUGUUGAGUGUCUCCUCCUACAUAUACAUCAGGAAUUUUACAGACACUAACUUUUUAGAUAUGAAGUAAGAAUCAUCUGGCUAAAAAAUAUCGUUUUUUUAAUCUCAAGAAUCCUGGGGGUUAGUAUUACUAUCCUCAUUUUGCAAUUGAGAAAAAUCAUGGCUCAAAGGGUAAAUGAUUUUGUCCAAGAACACGCAGACAGGUGAACACCAGUGGUGAGAUCUGAACAUAGGUUUUAUUUUGAAGCCCAUGCUUUGCCCACUAUGAUAGGCCUUCCGUGAAUCUGUGGACUCAAUGACGUAUACAUUGUGACUGCUUUAAGGAGCCAUGUGUGCAGGCCCAGCACAGCUGUUUAUUUCCUUAUUGUUACUUGUGAGUCAGGGUUUAACCAAAACCAUUUGUAAUGGGGAAAAUAUAAUUAUUUGACAUCUCUCUUGGAUGAUAAAAGUCAGGGUGGAGUUUCAAAAAUAUGUACUGAGGCCCUACUAUGUGUCAGGCUCUGGGGAUACAGAGGUUGAACAAGAUAAACAAGGUCCCUAACCCCAAAGGAGCUUACAUUCUAAUGUGGAACACAAAGGCACUAAACAAGUCAACAGAUGUCUUUCACGUGGUGACCAAUGUUUUGAAAAAAUAAAGCAGGGUACAGGGAGCUACUUCAGAUAGUGUGGUCAAGGAAGGCUUCUCUGGGGAGCUGUCCUCACUGAGACCCAAAUGAUGAGCAAGAGGCAGACAAGCUACGAGGCAGGAAUAUCCAGGGUGUGUUGAAGGAACAGACAGCAAGGCCAGUGUGGUUAAAAUGGAGUGACUCAGAGCAUGGGAAGAGAGAGGUCAGGGAGGUGAGCAGGGCCAUGUCAUGGAAACCCACAUCCAAGGAAGGGCACACAUCCGUAGCAAUACAUGGAGGAGUGGCAUGCAGGUGGCCAUGGCUGCUGUCAGACAAGAGAGAUGGCAAUAUGUUGGCAUAGCAGGUUCUCAGUUCAACAGCUAUGCCAGCAUCUUGCCUCCUCUCCAGUUCCAAGUUACAGGAGCAACAUCAUGCCUCUUCAGUGUUUCACUUUUCCAAAAUCUUCCCUUCCACCUGAGGGGGGGAAAACACACUCAUUAAUU
ensembl:lncRNA